UACGGAAGGCAGCAGUGGGGAAUAUUGCACAAUGGGCGAAAGCCUGAUGCAGCUAUGCCGCGUGUAUGAAGAAGGCCUUAGGGUUGUAAAGUACUUUCAUCGGGGAGGAAAAACAAAACUAAUAAUUUUAUUUCUUGACGUUACCCGAAAAAGAAGCACCGGCUAACUCCGUGCCAGCAGCCGCGGUAAUACGGAGGGUGCUAGCGUUAAUCAGAAUUACUGGGCGUAAAGGGCACGCAGGCGGUUAAUUAAGUUGGAUGUGAAAUCCCCGGGCUUAACCUGGGAAUGGCAUUCAAGACUGGUUAGCUAGAGUCUUGUAGAGGGGGGUAGAAUUCCAUGUGUAGCGGUGAAAUGCGUAGAGAUGUGGAGGAAUACCGGUGGCGAAGGCGGCCCCUGGACAAAGACUGACGCUCAUGUGCGAAAGCGUGGGGAGCAAACAGGGAUUAGAUACC
rnacentral:rRNA from 1 species